rnacentral:ncRNA from 1 species
CUUAAAACAUUGAUGAAGAGUAGUAAUCUAAUUGAACGCAAAAGAGAGCUGAUGGAUGGUGAGAAUCAGUGUGUUUCAUUAGAUGAAUGGACUUCGGAGUUUCCAAACCGAACCGUAAUUGUAGUAGGCUUUGGCGAGUUAAUCUCAUCGUUAUCUGAGAACUACAUAAAGCUAAGUAAAGCUUCAUGUAAUAAAGUGAGUUGUAUAUAUGCAACUAAUAAAGGUGGUACCACGGUCCCUCGUCCUUUGU